ACAGUGGCGAACGGGUGAGUAACACGUGACCAACCUGCCCCGCGCUCCGGGACAACCUCGGGAAACCGAGGCUAAUACCGGAUGCGCCGCCCGCCCCGCAUGGGGCGGGCGGGAAAGCCGAGACGGCGCGGGAUGGGGUCGCGGCCCAUCAGGUAGACGGCGGGAUGAGAGCCCACCGUGCCUGCGACGGGUAGCCGGCCUGAGAGGGCGAUCGGCCACAUUGGGACUGAGAUACGGCCCAG
rnacentral:rRNA from 1 species